AGUCACGUGUCAGCGGCAGCACACUCCAUCAGAAAAUCUACAAAAUCUGUUUUACUUGUCUGAGCAGAACGGGAAGAUUGAUAUGGCCUUCUUCACUCACGACUGCUUCCACUUCACCAUAAAGGGACAUGAGGAGCUGGCCAAGGGCCUGUGGAACAACAUGUUUCAGCCUGAAGGAGGAAAAAUGAUUGUGAGCAGUUUCUCUGAUCCCAUCAGUCUCAUCUGUCCACCUGCAGUAAGUCUUAGUAUGGAAGUGCUGUGUUUUCAUUCAAGAGCAGUACCUGGAUAUUCUGACACUGAGUUUAAAAUUAAAGCUGCAAAUUGAAUUUCUCCCUGAAUGGUAAGGGAUUCAAUAAGUAUCAUACAUUACCACUCUGAACUUAUUAAAGAUCCUCUGCACAAAGGCAAGAUGAUAGGCUGCUCUAAUUAUAUGAAAUGGUAUGAACCUUCAAUUAUCAAUUUGUUAAAAAGCUGCUGAAGCCAAGGAUGAGGACAUUGUGAUGUAUCUAAGCUUUUGUUUGCAUCAUAUUAUUACUUCUUGUAUUUAUGUUACUAGAUUUUCAAGGGUGCUGCAGAGAAACCAACAGGUCUAAGGCAAUUAAUUUAAUCUGAUAUCAAUUUAUUAAAGAAAUAAAGUUUUAAUCAUGUAAAAAGAUGCACUCAGGA